rnacentral:lncRNA from 1 species
CAAAACUACCAGCACUUCUCUCUGCUCACAAGCGGCUCCUGGGCUGAAAACUAUUUCAUUACCAUGACUGAAUUUCUUGCUUACGACGUUCUUCUCUAGGAUGACAAACGAAAUGGGACCAGCCUGUUUGUGAAGGGGAACAUUUCCCUCUGCUAACAGCUUGACCGAGAUCCACCCAAUUUGCUUCCUAACAGCUGGAACUGCUCCCACCAGUGAGUAGCAGAAGAUGAAGAGGCCAAUUUCAAGAAGUGCAGUUUCACAAGGGAAGGUGGAAGACUUCUGGUGGGAAACAAAUGUGCAGAGAUCAGCUUCUUCUGGAAGAAACGUAUCUAAAAUGAGCAGAAGUGCUCUCCUGUGCAUCACGGGGACGUUGUCAUCUCCCAGGCUGUGA